AUAUUCUGCCCCACGGGAAAGGAUGAGAAGCUUCGACCAGGGUUCGACUCGAGCGUAGCGAGAGAACGUUGCCGCAGGCAACGGCCCGAAGGGCGAGGCGCUUUAGCGCCGAGUCAUCCUUCCCCCACCGCUG
rnacentral:sRNA from 1 species